rnacentral:rRNA from 1 species
GACGUAGGGCGCGAGCGUUGUCCGGAUUUAUUGGGCGUAAAGAGCUCGUAGGCGGCUCGUUGCGUCAACCGUGAAAACCCGGGGCUUAACUUCGGGCUUGCGGUUGAUACGGGCGGGCUGGAGUUCGGUAGGGGAGACUGGAAUUCCUGGUGUAGCGGUGAAAUGCGCAGAUAUCAGGAGGAACACCGACGGCGUAGGCAGCGCCCCUGGCCGUUUCCUGACGCUGAGGCACGAAAGCUGGGGGGAGCAAACAGG